rnacentral:misc_RNA from 1 species
AAGUCGUAACAAGGUCUCCGUAGGUGAACCUGCGGAGGGAUCAUUAAACGAAACAAACCCUCCCCUCGGGCUCCGGCCCGGCGGGGGGCCAGUCUCAAACCCUUUGUCGUCCGACUAUGUUGCCUCGGGGGAGACCCUGCCCUCGGGCGGGUGGCACCCCGGUGGACCAAACCAAACUCUUGCGUAACAUGUCGUCUGAGUCGAUUUAAAAAUAAAUCAAAA